GCCUUUAUGACGGCGGGAGGCCGCAAACGGUAGUGGGGCGUUGCCUGGAAAUGGCGGCGCAGGGCGGGGGUCGGUUGUGAAGAGGAACUCCAGUUAGAAAGAUGUAAGAGUGAGAAAAAGCUGAUUGUUAUAGGGCUAGAUAGUACAGACCCAGUGAGUAGGAUGGCUUUAUUGUGAAGGUACUUUGCUUAGUUUUUCCUUAAAUUGUUGAGCUCAAGAAAGGUCUGCACCUCAUGCAUGGAAUAUCAACACCCCACACUGAGGGCUUUUAAUGAGGUGUCUCUGACUGAAGUAGAUCAAUGAGGAUAAGUGCCAAAUACAGGGGGAGAGGGAGUCAUUUUGUCAGAAAUUGUGCCAAGAUUCUCAAAGUAAACUAAAUUCUGGAGAUGUUCCAGAAAACAAUCAAAGUUUGGCUACGUGACCAUCAGCAACUAUAGUGGUAAACCUAACUGAAAAUGUGGAUGUGAGAGACUGUUACUUCGGCCAUGUGGAUUUUCUGUAGGAAUUUCACACGAUUUAAUUCUGAGGGGCUGGACAUACUAAAAAACAAAGGCAAAAUGGACAUUGAACAGUAAAUUGAAGGAACAGCACACCAUAGGUUUCUACUCAAAGGCAAUUUGGGGUCCUCUAUUCAGCAUGUUGUGGCACCGUCAGAAUACUGUGGUGUUUAAGGUGAGGAGGGGCCUUCAAGAUUUGAAGUUUUUACAAAAGAGGAUGAUGUGAAAGGAAAAUUGCAUGAAACACUAGUGAACAGAUGGCAUCAUUUCAUCUCAUGCUCUGAAAGUGACAAGUGACACUGUGGCACUGACUUUAUUGUAUUAGCCUGUGCUGGCUGUGCUGAAUUUAUAAACCACAUAGCAAGUUUCUUUGGCUCUACCUCUCACAACAGAAGGUGAAGUAAGAAAACACAGGAAAACUAAUAUGUGCGAGACACUGGCAAUGUGGUACAGGUUGUAAGGAGAGAAAGCAAUAUGAAGACUUACAGUUAGAUGGUUGAUUCAGAAGUUGUUUGAUGGUGAUGAAACAGAUCUGCACCUGUUGACUAGGACCUCAAAAUAAAGCUCACAA